rnacentral:rRNA from 1 species
CAAAUGAGAGUUUGAUCCUGGCUCAGAACGAACGCUGGCGGCGUGCCUAACACAUGCAAGUCGAAC